UUUUUAAAAUUAAUCUUUUGAUUUUGAGUAAAAAAAUUCAGUAUUUUAUAUAAAAUAUAAAAAUUAUAUAUAGUUACUUUCUAUAUUUUUUGUAUUAAUAUUAUUAAUUAAUAUAUUUAAUAAUUUAUUUUAAUUUUUUUAAAGAAAGUUUAAUUCUAACUUUGAAAUUUAUUAUAAAUUUUAUUUAAUAUAUAAAUUUUUAAUAUAAUAUUAUUAUUUUUUAAAUAAAGAUGAUAUAAUUAUUUAGUAUAUAAAAUUGUAUUUAAAUAAAAGUAGAUUUUUUUAUAGAAUUAUAUUUAUUUAAGAUGGAAAAAACUGGUGCCCGCAUUCGCGGUUCGCCAAGUCGCCUAAGUGAAUCCGUUAAGUUUCAGAGACAUUAAUUAUGCGGUAAUUUUCUGAGGGCUAGACUUAAAUCCCGGUGAACGUUUCCGAAUUUUAUGUAUUAAAAAUUUAUAAGUACUCUGUAAUAUUUUUUGGAAAUGCGCUUCGAGACUAGGAUUAGAUACCCUAUUAUUUUAAUUGUAAAUUUGUUUUUAGUUUAGAAAAUUAUUAUUUUAUAUAAAUUUUUAUUUUAAUUUAUUUUUAAUUAGGUAGUAUUAGGUAUGUUCUUGAAACUUUAAGAAUUUGACGGUAAUUCAUUCAAUUUAGAGGAACUUGUUUUUUAAUUGAUAAUCCACGAUAAUAAUUACCUAAUUUAUUUUGUUUGUAUAUCGUCGUUUUAAAAAAAUUUUUAAAGAAUAAAUAAUUUUUAAAAUAUAAUUUUUAUUUUUAUAUAAAUUCAGAUCAAGGUGCAGCUAUUUAUUUAGGUUAAAAUGAGUUACAAUAAAAUAUAUUUAUACGGAUUUUAAGUAUUAAUAUUUAAAUUAAGGGGGAUUUAAAAGUAAAAUUAAAUGAUUAUUUAAUUUGAGAUUUGUUUUGAAUUAUGUACAUAUCGCCCGUCGCUCUCAUUAUAAAAUGAGAUAAGUCGUAACAAAGUAAAAGUACUGGAAAGUGUUUUUAGAAUUAAAAUUU